CGGGGCGUGGCCCAGUGGCUUAGGGUGCAUGGUUCGGGACCAUGAGAUCGGUGGUUCAAAUCCACUCGCCCCGA
rfam:Elusimicrobia bacterium RIFOXYA2_FTLL_40_6 rifoxya2_full_scaffold_12302, whole genome shotgun sequence.